rnacentral:rRNA from 1 species
GACGAACGCUGGCGGCGUGCUUAACACAUGCAAGUCGAACGGAAAGGCCCUGCUUUUGUGGGGUGCUCGAGUGGCGAACGGGUGAGUAACACGUGAGUAACCUGCCCUUGACUUUGGGAUAACUUCAGGAAACUGGGGCUAAUACCGGAUAGGAGCUCCUGCUGCAUGGUGGGGGUUGGAAAGUUUCGGCGGUUGGGGAUGGACUCGCGGCUUAUCAGCUUGUUGGUGGGGUAGUGGCUUACCAAGGCUUUGACGGGUAGCCGGCCUGAGAGGGGGACCGGCCACAUGGGGACUGAGAUACGGCCCAGACUCCUACGGGAGGCAGCGGUGGGGAGUAUUGCACAAUGGGCGGAAGCCUGAUGCAGCAACGCCGCGUGCGGGAUGACGGCCUUCGGGUUGUAAACCGCUUUCGCCUGUGACGAAGCGUGAGUGACGGUAAUGGGUAAAGAAGCACCGGCUAACUACGUG